AGUGAACGCUGGCGGUAGGCCUAACACAUGCAAGUCGAACGGCAGCACAGUAAGAGCUUGCUCUUACGGGUGGCGAGUGGCGGACGGGUGAGGAAUACAUCGGAAUCUACUUUUUCGUGGGGGAUAACGUAGGGAAACUUACGCUAAUACCGCAUACGACCUACGGGUGAAAGCAGGGGAUCUUCGGACCUUGCGCGAUUGAAUGAGCCGAUGUCGGAUUAGCUAGUUGGCGGGGUAAAGGCCCACCAAGGCGACGAUCCGUAGCUGGUCUGAGAGGAUGAUCAGCCGCGCUGGAACUGAGACACGGUCCAGACUCCUACGGGAGGCAGCAGUGGGGAAUAUUGGACAAUGGGCGCAAGCCUGAUCCAGCCAUACCGCGUGGGUGAAGAAGGCCUUCGGGUUGUAAAGCCCUUUUGUUGGGAAAGAAAAGCAGCAGGUUAAUACCCCGCUGUUCUGACGGUACCCAAAGAAUAAGCACCGGCUAACUUCGUG
rnacentral:rRNA from 1 species